rnacentral:rRNA from 1 species
UACAGAGGGGGCAAGCGUUGUUCGGAAUUACUGGGCGUAAAGCGCGUGUAGGCGGCCCUGCAAGUCGGGUGUGAAAUCCCAUGGCUCAACCAUGGAAGUGCACUCGAAACUGCAGGGCUAGAGUCCUGGAGAGGAAGGUGGAAUGCUUGGUGUAGAGGUGAAAUUCGUAGAUAUCAAGCGGAACACCGGUGGCGAAGGCGGCCUUCUGGACAGUGACUGACGCUGAGGUGCGAAAGCGUGGGGAGCAAACAGG